rnacentral:rRNA from 1 species
UACGAAGGGGGCUAGCGUUGCUCGGAAUCACUGGGCGUAAAGCGCACGUAGGCGGGUCUUUAAGUCAGGGGUGAAAUCCCGGAGCUCAACUCCGGAACUGCCUUUGAUACUGGAGAUCUUGAGUCCGGGAGAGGUGAGUGGAACUCCGAGUGUAGAGGUGAAAUUCGUAGAUAUUCGGAAGAACACCAGUGGCGAAGGCGGAUCUCUGGGCCAUUACUGACGCUGAGGAGCGAAAGCGUGGGGAGCGAACAGG